ACGGACACCAAGUGAAACAUUGACCAAGUUACAAAACAGCCAACACUAAUGAACUAAGAGCCACUCAUGUUUUUCUCUUGAUGCAAAGAGCAAAUUUAUUUGGACCAAACUCAGAAACAAAAUAUUUCAGGCUGUGAUCAGGUGAAAUUCCUUUUCUUCAGAUAAACUGUGUUCAGCUUUGAGUUCUGCUCCUUUAUCUAAAGUCAACCAACAACUCAACAGCUACAAUAACACUGAAUCUGGAAAAUACUGGGAGCAAUUUUGGAAAAGGCAACGACCACAACAACAAAAAUGGUUCAAACUAGCAUUUCUAUGAGUGAACUUUGAUUGAUUCUCCAGUAAAAAGGUGAUGAUCCAGCUCUGUUAGUUUCCACUCUGCACUGAGGAGCUGAAGUCUCAGUUUACUGUGAAGUUUGUAGUUUUUCAGCCUGUGUCUAAAAACACAACAAAACAACAACAAAACCAGUCGCGUGCUAAUGAGGGAAAAACACAGAGACACGAGACGUGUCAGAAAUGUUACUUCAGGAGUAACACGUAUGUGACACAGUAACACUGUGCCUGCGGGCACCAGGUCGCCCAGGGACCACAUGACUCGCCCGCAGGGCAUGUUCUAAAAAUAGCACUAAUCGCCAAGGAGCUCCGUAUAAAAUGUAUUUAAUUGCGUUGCUGUUCUUUUUUAUUCUUGCAUAGAUGUAGAUUUGAAAAUGACAAUACUGAAAAUAAAAAAAUAAAAACUACAUGAACUCUGACCUUGCCUGGGUCAAAGUUCAAUGUUGUGCGCAUGACAAACCUCUCACUCUGCUGAGAUAAGCUAGCGGGCGCAGCUAGCACGGGGAGCUGGGUGAAUUUUCUACCCCUGAAAACAUGGCAGAAAAAGAAAGAACACUUAUCAUUUUCACAAUGAUUGGGAGGAACAGUUUUUUUACGACUGUUAAAGAAAACUGUGUGUGUCUCAUUAGCGGGGCGACUGUGGCACAAUGUGGAGAGACACUUCAGUACGUGUCACAAAAGCUACCAUGCUAACUACACACCUGGCAGCGCACUACCACUACACACAACUGAACCAUUUGAACUGUGAGCUGCAAGACAAAGGCACUGCUGGACAGGUGGAGAUUGAAAUUGUAACGUUGCAAAAUGACCUCCACCUCAAAGCCCACCAGGGUGCACCAGACUACCGGUGCCUUGUGGACACAGAAAAGUACAAAGGUGUAUGCACAGCAGCUAUGAAGGUUGCCUGCCUUUUAGGUUCAACCUAUCUCUGUGAAUCAGCCUUUCCUGACAUGAACUUCAUCAAAAACAAGCACAGAAUGCACCUUACUGAUGAACAUCUGCAAGACUCACUCAGAGUUGCAGUGUCAGGUUAUAUCCCAGAUUACAGUACACUGGUGAACCGCAUGCAGUGCCAGGCUUCCCACUAACAGACAGACUAACAGACAUUUACAGACAAAGAAAGAGAUAACAUGUUUUCAGCGAAACACCACGGCAAAACUAAACUCAAAUAUUGUUUUAAAAAAAAAUGUGACAAAUUUGUUCAUGAAGUGUAACAGAUGUGUUGAUGAGUAUGAAAUGUGAUGGGAUUUAUUUAAAAUUUUUCAUCUUACACAACUGACAGUCUGUACAAACAUCGGUCAUAGUUCAUGAAUUGUUAAAAACUGUUACAGAGGUAGUGGUUAGUACAAAUGAGACAUGAUGAUUUCCUAAAAAAAAUGUUACAAAACUGAUCAUUUGAAAAUGAAACGAAAUGCAUUGAAAUGAAUGGAAAUUAAAAAAGUGUUGCAUGUUGAAAUGUUUCUGUGUUUCCUCCCGUUGUAUUAACGUGAUCUGACAGUGUCUUCACAUUCAGUAUAUGAAUAUUUAUUAUUAAUAAUAAUGAUGAUAAUAUCAUCAUUAAAGGUAAACCAUGCAACUUUAAGUUCUUCCAGAAGUUUAUAUCAAACUGGUAGCCCUUCUUACUACUCGCUAUCCUUGAAGUAGCUCUGAGUCAAAAAGGUUGCUGACCCCUGGUUUAACACAACUGGAGAGUUAGCUGAAUCUAAGUUUUACUGAGGAGGAGGAGUGUGAGAAAAACUCAUUUUGACAAAACGUCCUUUAAAGAUUUGAGUUGUAAUUGAAGCCUACAGAUUCAAACAGACAAACUGUGGUUAAAUAAACACCUGAAUGUGUGUGUUGGAUGUUUUCUUUCCACUAAUCUGAAAGACGACAUGUUAUAGAAGCUAAAUAUAUCAAACUUGACCGGAGCCUGUUGUGCCUGGUCUUAAUCAAACAGGUUGUAUCUUUCACUUUGGUCUGUGUUGUUGCUCUCUCAGCUCUGCUGUGUUUACUAACUGAAAAUGAACAAAGACACAGUCAGAAAAUUCUUUCUGCUCUUUUUUUUUUUUUUGCUAGCAGGAUGGUAUGUGUUAUUGUAUUAGAGUCAGUAGAAAUUAGUGCAACUGAAUGAGUUCCUCUGGAUUAUUAGUGUGAUUAUUUUUAUUAGUAUUAGUUUAGAAUCUGUAAUUUGAGUAAACCAGUUUUUGUUUAUGUUGAAUGUAUGCUAAAGUGUUUUGAAUUCAUGCCGUCUUGUUUUCUUUUGGAGAGAAUGUUUUAUGUAACUAUAUGUAGUUUUGGUUAUAGCUUUAUUGAUUUAAUGUGUGGCAUAUUUAGCUUUUAAUAAUAUUAGCACUUAUUUAGGACUGGGAGAUGAUGUGAUGAAGUGAAUGAAAUUGUGCUCAGUAAUAAAGGAGCUGUGGCCUGUGAAA